AGUUGUAUGAAGUGUGCCCGAUUGCGC
rnacentral:sRNA from 1 species